rnacentral:tRNA from 1 species
UCGCCUAAUCAAUAAA